GGUUAAACGAUUUCUCUAGGACAAACUCAGAUCUACCGUUACAAUCACUGCUUUCAGAUGUUCUUGGUAAUCUAUUGAACUGUCUUAACAAGGAAUUUUGUCCCAUGUAAACCCGGAUAUAAAACUGUUGAGGACUAUGAUUAAACCAAAGAUAAGUAUUGAAAUCAAUGUUAAGUUUAAACAGUUACAGGUUUUUAAGUUUACAAAACAAUAAUACGAAUUUGUUUUUUGGUAGGCUGAUUGUGAAUUUUGGUUAAGAUGACUACACUUAGAAACUGGCAGUCGAGUAAAGAAUACAUCAGCACUUGAUAUUUAAUCUAAAACUGUUGAGGACUACGAUUAAACCAAAGAUAAGUAUUGGAAUCAAUGUUAAGUUUAAACAAUUACGUGUUUUUAAGUUUACAAAACACUAAUACGAAUUUUUUUUUGUAGGUUGAUUCUAUUUUUAGAUUAUGAUGGCUACACUUUCAAACUGGCAGUCGAGUAAAGAAUACAUCAUCACUUGAUACUUGAUAUCAAACAGUUGAGGAUCACAAUAUCAAAGAUAAGAAACAGAUUCAAUUUUUUUGUUAAUACAAUUGCGGUUUUAAUUUAUAUAACUAAACUCUGAUUACAUUUUUUUUUUCUUUAGGAUGAUCCUGUUUUUCCAGUAAGAUAAUCAAAGUUACAAUUUGGAAGUGAAUCAAUGAAAAAGGCAUCUAUACUUUAUAUUGGUACAUCUCCAAGCUGAUUAUCGCAAUCUGAAAAUUCAGACUCAUUUUCUUCUGAAGAACUGCUGCAUUGGAAUUACGGAGAUAGUCUCCAGUGUUUGGUACUUCUUCAAAUAUAAUGGGAGCAUUGGGUUUUUUUUGCCUCGCCAUCAAUUUUGCUAGCCUUAACGAUGUUUUUGGUCUGAAUGAUUGGUGAAGGACAUAUCAUGCAAUGGGUUUUGCAAUGAGGAUAUUCCAGUAUUUGCAGUGGUCCCUGCAUCAAUGUAAUUUCAGAUUGAAGAUUCACAUCUACAAUACAUUGGGAUGUUGGUUUUUUCAUCUGUGCUGAUGCACGCUGGUCAGAGUUGGGAAUCGUCAAUAGAUUGCAUGCUUUGCACAUGAGGAUGAAUUGGCAAUUCUUGAAAGUAGGGAAGACACUCAACUUUAUCAGGAUAUAUAAAUUCUUCAAGGUGGUUUGGAAAAGGGGGAUACUUGGAGAAUAAAUGUUUUCAGGCCUUAAGAUCAGAGAGAUUUGUGAAAGCAUCAUUGGCAGCCAUCUCUUCUUAAAAGAUUAAAUGACGAAGUGAUAUGGAAAUUAUUUCCUUAUAGCAAAUGAUUUUACAAUCCGGAUACUUUGACAAUUACUACCUUGUGUCUCGGAGCUCAUCCUCUAAUCGUUAUGGAAAAUGGAUUACGGGAAGUAAACUGUUUGGAUACAUAUGUACCAUAUCAAAGAUCCGAAUAUGUUUAUUACCAAACAAAGAGGAUCCGCGUGUUUUUACCUUCUAAGAUUACCUCUUUGUCCUCAAAAAUUUUUUCCUUUGUACUUUGCUUUUUUAUUUUGUAGGGGCAUGUAAUGGAAUACUUGUUUUUUUU